UACGGGGGGGGCAAGCGUUGUUCGGAAUUACUGGGCGUAAAGGGCUCGUAGGCGGCCAACUAAGUCAGACGUGAAAUCCCCAGGCUCAACCUGGGAACUGCGUCUGAUACUGGAUGGCUUGAAUCCGGGAGAGGGAUGCGGAAUUCCAGGUGUAGCGGUGAAAUGCGUAGAUAUCUGGAGGAACACCGGUGGCGAAGGCGGCAUCCUGGACCGGUUCUGACGCUGAGGCGCGAAAGCGUGGGGAGCAAACAGG
rnacentral:rRNA from 1 species